rnacentral:rRNA from 1 species
AACGAACGCUGGCGGCAUGCCUAACACAUGCAAGUCGAACGAGACCUUCGGGUCUAGUGGCGCACGGGUGCGUAACGCGUGGGAACCUGCCCUUAGGUUCGGAAUAACUCCCCGAAAGGGGUGCUAAUACCGGAUAAUGUCUUCGGACCAAAGAUUUAUCGCCUUUGGAUGGGCCCGCGUUGGAUUAGCUAGUUGGUAGGGUAAAAGCCUACCAAGGCGACGAUCCAUAGCUGGUCUGAGAGGAUGAUCAGCCACACCGGGACUGAGACACGGCCCAGACUCCUACGGGAGGCAGCAGUGGGGAAUAUUGGACAAUGGGCGAAAGCCUGAUCCAGCAAUGCCGCGUGAGUGAUGAAGGCCUUAGGGUUGUAAAGCUCUUUUACCCGGGAUGAUAAUGACAGUUCCGGGAGAAUAAGCUCCGGCUAACUCCGUG